rnacentral:rRNA from 1 species
UGGGGAAUUUUGGACAAUGGGCGAAAGCCUGAUCCAGCAAUGCCGCGUGUGUGAAGAAGGCCUUCGGGUUGUAAAGCACUUUUGUCCGGAAAGAAAUCCUUGGCUCUAAUACAGUCGGGGGAUGACGGUACCGGAAGAAUAAGCACCGGCUAACUACGUGCCAGCAGCCGCGGUAAUACGUAGGGUGCAAGCGUUAAUCGGAAUUACUGGGCGUAAAGCGUGCGCAGGCGGUUUGCUAAGACCGAUGUGAAAUCCCCGGGCUCAACCUGGGAACUGCAUUGGUGACUGGCAGGCUAGAGUAUGGCAGAGGGGGGUAGAAUUCCACGUGUAGCAGUGAAAUGCGUAGAGAUGUGGAGGAAUACCGAUGGCGAAGGCAGCCCCCUGGGCCAAUACUGACGCUCAUGCACGAAAGCGUGGGGAGCAAAACAGGAUUAGAUACCCUGGUAGUCCACGCCCUAAACGAUGUCAACUAGUUGUUGGGGAUUCAUUUCCUAGUAACGUAGCUAACGCGUGAAGUUGACCGCCUGGGGAGUACGGUCGCAAGAUUAAAACUUAAAGGAAUUGACGGGGUCAUAGCUGUUUCCU